UACGUAGGUGGCAAGCGUUGUCCGGAAUUAUUGGGCGUAAAGCGCGCGCAGGCGGUUCUUUUAAGUCUGAUGUGAAAGCCCACGGCUCAACCGUGGAGGGUCAUUGGAAACUGGAGAACUUGAGUACAGAAGAGGAAAGCGGAAUUCCACGUGUAGCGGUGAAAUGCGUAGAGAUCGGGAGGAAUACCUGUGGCGAAGGCGGCCUACUGGGCCGGACCUGACGCUGAGACGCGAAGGCGUGGGGAGCGAACGGG
rnacentral:rRNA from 1 species